UGGGGAAUAUUGCGCAAUGGGCGAAAGCCUGACGCAGCGACGCCGCGUGAGGGAUGAAGGUUUUCGGAUCGUAAACCUCUGUCAGAAGGGAAGAAACCGCACUGUGCUAAUCAGCAGUGCCUUGACGGUACCUUCAAAGGAAGCCCCGGCUAACUACGUGCCAGCAGCCGCGGUAAUACGUAGGGGGCUAGCGUUGUCCGGAAUCACUGGGCGUAAAGGGUUCGCAGGCGGAAAUGCAAGUCAGGUGUAAAAGGCAGUAGCUUAACUACUGUAAGCAUUUGAAACUGCAUAUCUUGAGAAGAGUAGAGGUAAGUGGAAUUUUUAGUGUAGCGGUGAAAUGCGUAGAUAUUAAAAAGAAUACCGGUGGCGAAGGCGACUUACUGGGCUCAUUCUGACGCUGAGGAACGAAAGCGUGGGUAGCAAACAGG
rnacentral:rRNA from 1 species